rnacentral:rRNA from 1 species
GUCCGACCAUUUCAUUUUCUUACACUGUGCACACACUUCUUUUUACACACACUUUUAACACAUUAGUAUAAGAAUGUAAUAGUCUCUUAAUUGAGCAUAAACAAAAAUAAAACUUUCAGCAACGGAUCUCUUGGCUCUCGCAUCGAUGAAGAACGCAGCGAAUUGCGAUAAGUAAUGUGAAUUGCAGAAUUCAGUGAAUCAUCGAAUCUUUGAACGCACCUUGCACUCUUUGGUAUUCCGAAGAGUAUGUCUGUUUGAGUAUCAUGAAACUCUCAACCCCCCUAUUUUGUAAUGAAAUGGGCGUGGGCUUGGAUUAUGGUUGUCUGUCGGCGUAAUUGCCGGCUCAACUGAAAUACACGAGCAACCCUAUUGAAAUAGACGGUUUGACUUGGCGUAAUAAUUAUUUCGCUAAGGACGUCUUCUUCAAAUAUAAGAGGUGCUUCUAAUGCGCUUUAUAGCACUUUAAGCUUAGAUCUCAAAUCAGUCA